GCAAAUCAAUUGAUGCAAAACACAGCAAUGGCAUUGGUCACAGGAGCAUAUCUAAGCUCUGGAAUGUUCCAGUGAGCACGGUCGGGCCAUAGUAUGUAAGUGGAAAGCCAAUCAUACGACCAUAAAUUUGGUUGGAUCAAGUGCUCCUCGCAAGAUUUCUGACAGAGGAGUGCCACAAAUAUUCAGAAGAGUCAUCCAAGAGCCAAGGACCACCUGUGGAGAGGCUCCGCCCCAGUUGCUACAGUUGCCAUGUCCCACAAGCUUCCAAAAUGGCGACUGAACAGAACAGAUGAUGUUGUAUUUGCGCCAUCAAACCAUAAUUUCCAACACUCACUGUAGAGGUUUGCAACCGAGUGUGAACCAACUGGGACAAGAAUCAGCACCUCUCGAUGUGAGACCAUGGUCUUAAUUUGUAAAAGGGUGAAAUCCAGUCUCCAGGUCAGGGAUGAGUUCCUUUCCGCGGCGGAGGAGUUCAAACAUGUUGGGGUCUCGUUCACAAGUGAGGGAAGAAUGGAACGGAAGAUCAACAGGCGAAUCAGUGCAGCAUUUGCAGCAAUGCGGACUUUAUACCAGUCCAUUGUUGUGAAGAAGGAGCUAACCGGAAAGGCAAUUAACUGGUCAACCUAUGUCCCUACUCCCACUUAUAGUCACGAGGUAUGUGUCAUGGAUGGAAGAACAAGAUCCCGGAUACAUGCGACCGAAGUGAGUUUCCUCUGCAGGGUGUCCCGGCUCUACUCAGAGAUAGGGUGUAAAGCUUGGUCAUCGGGGAGGGGUUCAGAGUAGAGCCACUACUCCUGCGCAUUGAGAGGAGCCAGAUGAGGUGGCUCAGGCAUUCGUUUAGGAUGCCUCCUGGACACCUCUCCGGUGAAGUUUUCCUGGCGUGUCACACUCAGAGGAGACGCCCUGGAUGCCUCAGGAUACGCUGGAGAGACUAUCUCUCACGGUAUGCACAAGAAAGCCUUAGGAUUCCUUCGCAAUAGGUGGAGGAAGUGGCUGUAUUGGGAAGUCUGGGCCUCCCUGCAAAAAGAUAAGUGGAAGAAAAUGGAUGAAUUUGCAAAUGAAUCAGGUUGUCUUAAAUACAUUUAUAUAUAGAAUUACCCUGCCACCUCAACCA